AAUAGAUACCCUGGUAGUCCAUGCCGUAAACGUUGGGCGCUAGAUGUGGGGACCAUUCCACGGUUUCCGUGUCGCAGCUAACGCAUUAAGCGCCCCGCCUGGAGAGUACGGCCGCAAGGCUAAAACUCAAAGGAAUUGACGGGGGCCCGCACAAGCGGCGGAGCAUGCGGAUUAAUUCGAUGCAACGCGAAGAACCUUACCAAGGCUUGACAUAUACGAGAACGCUCUAGAAAUAGAGAACUCUUUGGACACUCGUAUACAGGUGGUGCAUGGUUGUCGUCAGCUCGUGUCGUGAGAUGUUGGGUUAAGUCCCGCAACGAGCGCAACCCUCGUUCUAUGUUGCCAGCGGUUCGGCCGGGAACUCAUAGGAGACUGCCGGGGUCAACUCGGAGGAAGGUGGGGAUGACGUCAAAUCAUCAUGCCCCUUAUGUCUUGGGCUUCACGCAUGCUACAAUGGCCGGUACAAAGGGCUGCAAUACCGUAAGGUGGAGCGAAUCCCAAAAAGCCGGUCUCAGUUCGGAUUGAGGU
rnacentral:rRNA from 1 species